UCCCACUCCCCUGUGGAGCAUCAACAUCCAAGUGAUGUCACCUGUGGGUGAAUCAGCCACAGACAACUGCUUCCUUUUUGCCCUCUGAGAUAGGAGAUAUGUAUCUUGUGUCUCUCCACACUUAAAUGCUGUAUGUAAGGCUACAAAGUCUGGCCAGUCUUGCAGGACUGGUGCUCCUACCAUCCUGCGUAUAGGUCAAAGCCAAGCCAUGAAAGUUGUGAAGAAUGCUUGGUUGUCAGAUGAAUGAGAACAUGGACACUCAGCACAGCCAUCACUGACCUUCUGAUACCUCGCUGCCUGGUGCAUUCAGCAAUUCUACUUGUCAAAAUAAGGAAAUGACUGUAGUGAAGCCCUCAGAAAGGGUACAAGACGCCUGUUGCUUUGGGGAAGGACAUCGGUUGACAAAGAGAAAGGAAAACAACAGAAAAGCAACACAGCAAGGAUGGUGAAGAAGCAAAGGGUAGAAACACAAUAGGCCUGCAGCAAGGCAGAUUCUGAGUAGAACAGCUGACAACAAAAAUCACUUGAAAAAAAUAGUCUGAGAAAAGGAAGAAAAUAGCUGAGGAACAGCUGUUUCUCUGGGAAACAAAAUCACCAUCAAGGAAAGCAUACAUGUCUUAAGAACUAGUAGAGGAGUCUGCUGGAGCCUGCCUUCUCCUGGUGGGCAGGAGAGAGAGGAGCUCUUCUGAGCCCCUGGCUGAGCAGCUUCCAAGCACCAGCUCAUUGCUCAGCCACUGCUGGCUGCCCAAACCCCAGCUCCUGCUAGCUUGCAGGGGCAGGAGCAUCACUGAACACAGCCGAGGCUUUACAGGGGAUUGUACAGGCAGACUCAUUAAGCAAGAGAAGCUUUAGGCAGGAGAACAAGAGAAGAGAAGUUUCAGAGCAGGGAUAACUUCUGGGCUGUGAAGCUGCCCCAGGGUUGGAGAGGGAAGACGAGAGGAUCAAGUUCGGGAGAAAGCUGCGAAGGGUGGAGGCAGGUCCUGGGCCACCCCAGAGAGCCUCCUGCCAACC